AUCCCCAGCCCUGCAGCCAUCUCCCCUGCCAACCCCCACCCCCGCCCGCAAUCUCCUCGUACAGAUGGAGGGGUCAUGGGCCAGAUAGGGGCAGGGACCUCUCAAGGUCACACAGCAGACCUGGGACAGACUUCUGCUUGCCUCCCCUCAGGAUCGGGUUUCUCAGUGACACCUUCUGGAAUCUGGGGUAAGAGAAGACCACCACUGCCUCUCCCCACAGCAGAGGCUGCCAGCCUGAUGGCUGUGCUGCCGGCCUGAGGGUGGAGGCACCUCCUCAUCAGCUGGGUGGGGGUGGAGAGGCCCUGGGGAUCAGGUUAAUGGAGCAGGAGCUUGAAACCGGAGCACAGUGAAGAGCCCGCGAAAUAGCUUUGUCAGCUGCCUCCCACUCGCCACUUUCCAAUUUUAGCUCCCCAUGGCCGGUGCGGGGUGUCCCCAGAGAGGCCUCUGCAAGGAGCUGGCCCCCAGCCUGAGGCCUCUCCUGAUAGACCCCCGGACCAGGGCUGGCCUGUGGACACAGGGGCAUCCCUUUUCCCCUGGUCCUGCCUGCCCCAGAUGCCCCUGGGGUAAAGCCCCUUUUGUGGCCCGUGACUUGGGAUGAGGGCCUGGGGUGUGCCCCACAAGUCUCAAGAGCCCCAGAGUAGCUGCAUCCCCAGCUGGCACUGACCUUGAGGAGGCCGCAAGGGACCCUGGCACACUGCCCACCUCAGGCUCUGGGGUCCUGCGUCCAACUGUCCGUCCGUCCGACCGGCUGAGCUCUGGGGCUACGGUGGGGUGUGUCCAGCCCUGGGGUCCCCACCCCCUCGAGGUUAUGAGCGCCCAUAGGGAAGAUGUUGCCAUUGUCCGCAGUUGGGAGAAGAAGAACCUGGCACAUGAGGAAGCCAAGUAAUUGGACCAGCCCUGUAAGCUCCUGGCACUGACUGCCCUGCAGGGGCGACAACCCCGUGCACCCACAGUGGGGCCCUCACGAGGCUCAAAGAAAAUGGCUCAAGGGAGCAGACACGGUGGUUUGACCCCAGAGUUAAGAACACAGGUUCAGCCAAUUUACUUGAGCCUGAGCUGGUGUACCCCACUUCUUAGGGUCUCAGAUCCUCAGUUGUAAAAUGGGCAUACCGCUGGCCCUGGCCCUCACCAGGGUGGCAGGGGGCAUCCGGUGACUCACUCCAUGACAAGGGCCUUGCUCAUAAACAGAGGCUAUUAGAGAGCCACAGACACCCUGACCCCCAGAGGCCCAGAGAGGCUGGAUUCACACUCAGCAGUGAGGCCUUCCCCGGGUGACCCACAACCAGCAGGGUCUGCAGGGAGUGUGGUGUGUGGAAAUGGCAAGAGGGGUGGAGGGCUAGGGAAGUCCCAAGGAUCUGUGACUGGACAGCCUGAGGCCAUUUCCACUGUGUCUGAGGCGGGUGGCGGGGGAGGGCACCUGGCGAGGCCAGCGCACUCCGACAGACAGGAAACUGACUGAGCUAAGACCAGCACUUGGUCCUGGGGCCGUCCCAAAUGCCACAAGGGCCACUGGGAAAGAUAUGGCGGGGAGUGGGAACAAUUCUCUCAAAUCUGAGUCCCAUUUCAAUUUUUAAACUUUCUUUGGUUGUUUGUUGCUCAAAGUAAAAAUGCGAGGAAAGUAUCCUGUGUGUUUGCAUGUAUAUAUGCAACUGUGUUUUCUAUUAGUUGUGUGUAGAGUCUGUGUGUACGUUUUGUGUUGUAGGUUGUUCAUGGCAUGUGUUUGCUGUGUAUGUGUAUCCUGUGUAUUGCUUGUGUGUGCACAUGUAUCGUACAUAUGUGUGUAUAUGUGUGUUGUGUGUGUGCAAGGCUCAGGGAUAUAAGAGAGUCAGUGUAUGUAAAGGCACACCUGUGGGGAGAAGGUGGGUAGGCAGACUUCUUUGUGCUUAGGGCUGGCUGUGGGCUGGCUGGGGGUGGGGAGGAGAAGCUUCUUCUGGCCUCUGGAUGUGGGGGUCCAGAGGAGCACACCCACUGGAGGUCACCUUGCCCUGGGCUCCUGGGAGCAGGGGAGGGGCCCAGUGACAGUGUAGUGUGUUUAAGCCUGAGCCAGGCUGCAACCCUGCCCAGCUCAGCUGUGGUGCCCCAGAGGCCCCCAUGGGGACAGUGGCCAAACUACAUCCACAGCUCAGCCAGGCCUCACCUAUCAGUGCUGGAACCUGAGCACCAAGACCCGUAGCACCUGCCUGGUGUGUGGCAGGGAAAGCCCUCACGUGAGGCAACUCCACCGCUUAACUCUUUACUUGCCCCUGCCCCUCAACCCGCCAGGGCACCUGCACUCUCCCCUCCAGCUGCCUCCUCGUGGCUCUGGCCAGGGCCCUUAGUUUCUUAUCCAGCACACCUGUUGCCCACCUGCCUGAGGGAUAGGGAGGUCAUCCUCAGGGUGCCUGGGACAGACAGUGCUACCUAGGAGUGGCACUGGUACUCACCUGGACAGACCAGCUGCCUGGCUCUGUACCUGGCCCACCUGGGUUAGGUUUCUCAGGGUCCCUAUCUUUGACCCCUUUGACAACUUCCUUCCCUUGAAAAUCCUUCUCCCAGGCUCUCCCCACCUUCCCUUUGCCCCUCCUUGCUCCUUUGCCUUAGGGAGAUGUGAAGGACACAGGACUCCCUGACAGCCCCCUCUCCACCCAGAUCUGAUCAAGGAGGCUGGGAACUUGGGAACUGCCACAGGGAUGGGGUGGGGAUGGUGGGGGAAGCCCUGCGGUGCUGCAGCCCGGUCUUGCAUCCUUCCCCACCCAGCUCCAUCAUGGCUUUUCCCACGCCUCUGAUUGGACUGGAAACUCCCUGAAAGGAGGAAGAAAGUCAGAUUCACCUCCAGGUCCCUCCCGGGCCUGGAGAGGCUGGCAUGCUGUUGGCACUCACUGACUGCCUGAUGGCAGACUGGCUGGAUGGAAUGGUGACCUGUGACCAGUCUGUCUCUCUCCCCAGCUGACCUGAGAGUUCCUGGAGGCCAGGGACUGUGUGUGCCUCACCUCGGCACCUCUGUGCCUGGGGUAGAGGAACUGCUCAACAAGUUCUGGUUGAAUGAAUAGAGGGAACACUAAGAGUGAAUAAUUAUUGAGCACUUACUGUGUGCGAGCAGCUGCUGUAACCAUUGGACACUUUUUAUCUCAAUGAACCCUGCAGAGGGUUCCAAUGAGGGAAUGGAGCAGACCUGAUCAUCAAGCUGGGCGUGGGGAGGUGCCUGGUGGCAGGUGCCAGAAGACAUGACAGGGACUCCUGCACAUGGCACCACAGCAAUGCUGUCAAGGUUGCCUGUGGAAUCUGAAAACUGAAACACUCGUCUUUAUACCCAGAGUUGGCCAAAGCAAGACACUAGCAAAUCAGUUAACCCAAAAAUGUGCAAACAAGAUAUCCCAUGCCUGCCUGUCUGCAGUUUUUCUCUCCUCUCUCAUAUAACUCUUGUUGAAAUCAAUCUAUAGAUACAGGUUCCUCGUACAAAAAUAAACAGAGAGCUAAUAAUUAGCGAAAA